GACGAACGCUGGCGGCAAGCUUAACACAUUCAAGUCGAGCGCCCCGCAAGGGGAGCGGCAGACGGGUGAGUAACGCGUGGGAACGUUCCUUUCGGUUCGGAACAACUGCGGGAAACUUCAGCUAAAACCGGAUACGCCCUUCGGGGGAAAGUUUACGCCGAAAGAUCGGCCCGCGUGAGAUUAGCUAGUUGGUGGGGUAAGGGCCUACCAAGGCGACGAUCUAUAGCUGUUCUGAGAGGAAGAUCAGCCACACUGGGACUGAGACACGGCCCAGAUGCCUACGGGAGGCAGCGGUGGGGAAUAUUGGACAAUGGGCGCAAGCCUGAUCCAGCUAUGCCGCGUGGAUGAAGAAGGCCUUCGGGUUGUAAAGUCCUUUCGUUGGUGACGAUAAUGACGGUAACCAAAGAAGAAGCCCCGGCUAAUUUCGUGCCAGCAGCCGCCGUAACAC
rnacentral:rRNA from 1 species